ACUCCUACGGGAGGCAGCAGUAGGGAAGUCUUCCACAAUGGGCGCGAAAGCCUGAUGGAGCAACACCGCGUGAGUGAAGAAGGGUUUCGGCUCGUAAAGCUCUGUUGUUAAAGAAGAACACGUAUGAGAGUAACUGUUCAUACGUUGACGGUAUUUAACCAGAAAGUCACGGCUAACUACGUGCCAGCAGCCGCGGUAAUACGUAGGUGGCAAGCGUUAUCCGGAUUUAUUGGGCGUAAAGAGAGUGCAGGCGGUUUUCAAGUCUGAUGUGAAAGCCUUCGGCUUAACCGGGAGAAGUGCAUCGGAAACUGGAUAACUUGAGUGCAGAAGAGGGGUUAAUCGGU
rnacentral:rRNA from 1 species